rnacentral:rRNA from 1 species
ACGCUGGCGGCGUGCCUAACACAUGCAAGUCGAACGGAGGUAUUUAAGCAAUUAGAUACCUUAGUGGCGGACGGGUGAGUAACGCGUGGGCAACCUACCCAUCAGACUGGGAUAACACCGGGAAACUGGUGCUAAUACCGGAUACGCUUAUGGAGGGGCAUCCCUUUGUAAGGAAAGAAAAUCGCUGAUGGAUGGGCCCGCGUCUGAUUAGCUAGUUGGUGGGGUAGCGGCCUACCAAGGCGACGAUCAGUAGCCGGCCUGAGAGGGUGACCCGCCACACUGGGACUGAGACACGGCCCAGACUCCUACGGGAGGCAGCAGUGGGGAAUUUUGGACAAUGGGGGCAACCCUGAUCCAGCCAUUCCGCGUGAGUGAAGAAGGCCUUCGGGUUGUAAAGCUCUUUCGGCAGGAACGAAACGGCGGGCUCUAACAUAGCCUGUUACUGACGGUACCUGCAGAAGAAGCACCGGCUAACUACGUGCCAGCAGCCGCGGUAAUACGUAGGGUGCGAGCGUUAAUCG